CUAUCAGCGCUCUCGAUAACAUCGGGCGUGGAACUUCGAAGAUCUAAUACCCAAUCUAAAAUAGCUUCCUCGUGCAUCAUGUCUCCUGUAUAAAACUGACGAAAUUUGUUCCUGUAAAAUGCAAGAGCUGGUAGCCCAGUUUGGAAUUAACCUCUUCGAUCUUCCCUGGUAUCUCCAGUGUAUUUUCGUCCGUGAUCCAGGACAGAACUUCGUCCUCGUCUCCAAGAUCACCAGGAUAUAUCAAAGGUUCUUUAUUUCUAAAGAAAGCCAAAGUGGGGAAGCUUCUAAUACCAUAUUUCUUGGCAAGUGGCAUAUCUUCCGUCGUCACGAAAAUAAUACCAGCUUCGUCUAACUCGUCGUCGAUAUUUUCUAAUUCUAAAAGAACGUUAUCGCAGCUUUCACCUUCGUCACAGCUUCCACCUUGAAGAAAAUUGAAGAGAAUUAAGACACGACAAGUUAAAAAGAGUAUGUUAAAGCGCGGAACAAGGAUUGGAGAGUAUGAGAAUGGAAAAAAGAAAAAAGAGAAGGACAAUUGCAACACGCCUAUCACAAUAAAUUAAAACUACUAUUAUCGACUAUGUUGGAUUUUUCCUUUUU